AACGAACGCUGGCGGCAUGCCUAACACAUGCAAGUCGAACGGUGGCUUCGGCCACAGUGGCGCACGGGUGAGUAACACGUGGGAACCUGCCUUUCGGUUCGGAAUAACGUCUGGAAACGGACGCUAACACCGGAUACGUCCUUCGGGAGAAAGUUUACGCCGAGAGAGGGGCCCGCGUCCGAUUAGGUAGUUGGUGAGGUAACGGCUCACCAAGCCGACGAUCGGUAGCUGGUCUGAGAGGAUGAUCAGCCACACUGGGACUGAGACACGGCCCAGACUCCUACGGGAGGCAGCAGUGGGGAAUAUUGGACAAUGGGCGCAAGCCUGAUCCAGCAAUGCCGCGUGAGUGAUGAAGGCCUUAGGGUUGUAAAGCUCUUUCGCACGUGACGAUGAUGACGGUAACGUGAGAAGAAGCCCCGGCUAACUUCGUGCCAGCAGCCGCGGUAA
rnacentral:rRNA from 1 species